AGUCCGGCCGGAGUGGCGCGCGGGCCUCGCGGCCACAGUGGUUCCGGGGCUAGCUGCCGGCGCGCUUCCCGCUGCCUUCCGGCCCCGCGCGGGGAAGCUGAGGCCGCGCUCCCACCUCCCCUCGGCGCAGCCUCGCACCUCCCGCCGCGUCACCCGUCGCUGCUCCCGCUCCUCAACGGCCGCGGGGUUUGGGCCUACCUAGCGGUCGGGCCACCUCCGCUCUCUCCGCUGUGACGAAUCGGCGCCCGGCUGGCAAAUUACCCAAAUUCGGGGAGUUUUGAGAAACGUAUGGGGCCUGAAAAAAUCCUUGAUUGUACUAAGCACCACCGCGUCCCCACUAGAAGACUUAUUUUUCUUGAGAGAGUCGGUUGGAGCCUUGAAAGGAAUUAAGAAGAGUGUUGAAAGUGCGAGCGCGGAAGCUCCGGACGAGAGGGGCGGGGCGUGCGCGGGACAAAGGGAAGCGAGGCCGGAGCUGCGGGCGUUUUUUCUGCCCGCGGUGUCUCAGAUUCAUUCUUAAGGAACUGAGAACUUAAUCUUCCAAAAUGUCAAAAAGACCAUCUUAUGCCCCACCUCCCACCCCAGCUCCUGCAACACAAAUGCCCAGCACACCAGGGUUUGUGGGAUACAAUCCAUACAGUCAUCUCGCCUACAACAACUACAGGCUGGGAGGGAACCCGGGCACCAACAGCCGGGUCACGGCAUCCUCUGGUAUUACGAUUCCAAAACCCCCAAAGCCACCAGAUAAGCCGCUGAUGCCCUACAUGCGGUACAGCAGAAAGGUCUGGGACCAAGUAAAGGCUUCCAACCCUGACCUAAAGUUGUGGGAGAUUGGCAAGAUUAUUGGUGGCAUGUGGCGAGAUCUCACUGAUGAAGAAAAACAAGAAUAUUUAAACGAAUACGAAGCAGAAAAGAUAGAGUACAAUGAAUCUAUGAAGGCCUAUCAUAAUUCCCCCGCGUACCUUGCUUACAUAAAUGCAAAAAGUCGUGCAGAAGCUGCUUUAGAGGAAGAAAGUCGACAGAGACAGUCUCGCAUGGAGAAAGGAGAACCUUACAUGAGCAUUCAGCCUGCUGAAGAUCCAGAUGAUUAUGAUGAUGGCUUUUCAAUGAAGCACACAGCUACCGCCCGUUUCCAGAGAAAUCACCGCCUCAUCAGUGAAAUCCUUAGUGAGAGUGUGGUGCCAGAUGUUCGGUCUGUUGUCACAACAGCUAGAAUGCAGGUCCUCAAACGACAGGUCCAGUCCUUAAUGGUUCAUCAGCGAAAACUAGAAGCUGAACUUCUUCAAAUAGAGGAGCGACACCAAGAAAAGAAGAGGAAAUUCCUGGAAAGCACAGAUUCAUUUAACAAUGAACUUAAAAGGUUGUGUGGUUUGAAAGUAGAAGUGGAUAUGGAAAAAAUUGCAGCUGAAAUUGCACAGGCCGAGGAACAGGCUCGCAAAAGGCAGGAGGAAAGGGAGAAAGAGGCAGCAGAGCAAGCUGAGCGCAGCCAGAGCAGUAUUGUUCCUGAGGAGGAGCCAGCAGCUAAUAAGACCGAAGAAAAGAAAGAAGACGAGAGCAUUCCGAUGGAGACAGGUAACCUUUCAGUUGAUACUGAAGUAAAUGUCGAGGGUUUUUACAGCUGUCUUUAGUUCUGCUUUUCCUUUCUCAGUGCUUUUCAGAAGUCACUCUGUUGAUCUUGCCUCUUGAAUUAUUCUCCAUAUACUACCCAUUUCUUUCAAAAUCUUAAUCUCUUACAGUAGAGUCCACUAAAAAUGUUGGUAUUGGUACAAAACAGCAGUGGUGUGUUGUCUUUAGUCUUGCUGUGUGAGGUCUUGGUUGUUUGCCCAGAUUGAGUCAUGUCAUUUCCUGGGAAUAUAAAGUAUAAUGGUUUAAUGGUUAAGGAUGCUGGCCCGGGAGUCAGACAGAUCUGGGUCUAACACUGCUUCACCAUUUGCUAGCACUGUGACUUUGGGUAAGUUACUUAAUAUCAGUUUCCUCAUUUGCAAGUAUUCUAGCACCUGCCUCUGAGAGUGAGUUCCCAAGGAUAAAUGUACAUAAAAUCAUCAUUACUGCACUUGACAUGAUAUUGGCACUCAGUAUUUUAACGUUUAUUGCUAAAAUUGUUUAAACAAGAUGUGGUCAUUGCUCUUAAGAUCAGUGUCGUCUCUGGUGUCCUAGAACGGAGUUAGGCAAAUAAAACCUGCAGGCCAAAUCCUGCCUGCCACCUGCUUUUGUAAAUAAAGUUUUGUUGGAACCGUUUAUUUACGUAUUGUUUGUGGCUGCUUUGGGGCUACAACAGUAUAGUUGAGUAGUUGCAACUGAGACUGCCUGGCCCACAAAACCUGAAAUAUUUACUAUCUAGCCUUUGUAGAAAGCAUUUGUUGACCCCAUCCUGGAACAAUUCAUACUUCUGUUCUACUGAUUUUCCUGAUUAAAAGCAUUCCUCAAGGCAAACAAUAACACAGCUUACAUGAAGUACUGAUUAAAUUGAUUAUUGCUUGAAAUUUUGAGAUCACUCUACUUUCUGGCACUGUUUUGACCCUGCGCAGUGCACUGUGUAAUAAACAGAACUGAGCUGAAAGUAUGGGAGACACAAUCAAAGGCUCCCUGGACCAUCAUUACAAGAAGUGAGAGGGACCAUAGUCAUACUUGGUGCUCAACCGACAACUUCUGAUUUGACAUCUGGAAAACAUUAAGUAGAAUAUAGUAUCUUUACCAGAUAUUUCUACAGAGUGAUUCAGCAGAUUAACAUUUCAGAUAGUCAGAUUUUAAGUUUUAUUAUCUGAACCUUUCUCUGUUUUGUGUGAACAUGUUUUUUAUCUUAACAGAUUUGGAGCGUGAACACAUUUUGUGGUUAAAACAAGAGCUUGAGAAUUAGAGCAUGGUUCUUUGGCUCAUUUUGCAGCUAGAAUACUCAGCCUUGCCUCUGUUUUGUCAUCUAUGAAUAGAGCAUGCCUAGGUCUUUACUCAGAUUUCAUCCUUCUAGCUGAAGAAAAAGAACUGAAGAAGAUUGUUCUGAAGACUAUUAGAGCAAUAACAGAAAACAGCCCAGCGUGACUUGUAACAAAGUACUUUAAAUAUCAGCCUUAUACCAUUUCCAUACCUGCUUUCUCACUCAUUAAAUCCAAGCACUUCACAAGAGCACUGUCCAAUAGAAAUGAAAUAUAAGUCACUGUGUAAUUAUAAAUUUUCUACUACUGACAUUUUUUUAAUGAAAUCUUUUUUUUUUUUUUUUUUGCGGUACGCGGGCCUCUCACUGUUGUGGCCUCUCCCGUUGCGGAGCACAGGCUCCGGACGCGCAGGCCCAGCGGCCAUGGCUCACGGGCCCAGCCACUCCACGGCACGUGGGAUCUUCCCGGACCGGGGCACGAACCUGUGUCCCCUGCAUCGGCAGGCGGACUCUCAACCACUGCGCCACCAGGGAAGCCCAAUGAAAUCUUUUAAGUGAAAUUAAUUUUAAUAAGUCUUCAAAAUCCGAGGAGACACACCUUGAAGAAACGACGGAAAGCCAACAGAAUGGUGAAGAAGGCACGUCUACUCCUGAGGACAAGGAGAGCGGGCAGGAGGGGGUGGACAGUCUGGCAGAGGAAGGGACCAGUGAUAGUAACACUGG